CUAGCGGUUGCUAUGGCCGUUACCAAGCCCAACCAGGAAGCAUACAGAGUUGGGUGAUUCUCCUGUGGAGAUCAUCAUGUCAUCAGAGGGUCCACAGCUUCUACGGAGGCCCCUCCCUGCAGAACGAGUCCCUCACCCGGUGAAAUCCCUCCAAUCUCCCAGAAUCCAUGCAGGGAAGCGACCGGCUCCAGUGAGCGAUAGCAGGAGGCUGGAAGCUCCGCCCACAGAGGCGAUGCCAGCCAGCACAGCAGUGGGCGGCUUCCCCCUCAGACCUGCACGCACAUUACCCAGAAUACCCCUGCUCCAAAUCAUCCGUACAGAUCCAAGGUUCCUCCCUCCUCCCCCCGCCUUCUGUCUAAGGGGAGCCGUCAUGGGGUCUGUGAGGAGCCCUGGUGGCUUCAGGCCCUGAAGCUCAUUAUAGGGGCCCAUCAAAGCCCUGUUUUUAUAAUACACUGACAGAAACGGAAACCGCUUUUGGUCGUAUUCACCCAGCAGCCAUCUUGUUUUAAAUGGGACCAAAAAUGGCUGAAGGGUCAAUAAAGCAAAUUUAUAUUGUUGUACUUGGUUUUUAGUCUCAAAGGGAAUAUAAAAUAAAUUAUAUCAUGGACUUUGAUUCUUUUUUUCAAGUUGUAUCUCCUCCAUAUUCUUACCUCUGUUAUCUAUAGUGAUUUAUGGCCUACCAGUGUUUCUUAAAUAUAUGAGAUUGAGAACAACUAUGAAGUUAAUUUACUUUCUGACGUUAGAUCAUCCUGCAGGAAGCGAUGUGAAAAGCCAAAUUUAUUUUUUGCCUCCCCAAAAUUUUGCAUGUUCAGAAAAUAUCACGUUAAUGUUGUCAUUACAUAUUCAGCGUAACAAAGUUUAGCGUCAGGCAGAACCGAAAGCAGCCGUUUGACGCGAAUGUAAAC